GAAUUUUUCAAAAUACCAUUGGGUACCCUCAUGAACUUCAAGGAAUUACACACACGACCAGCCUCUUCUCUUCCUCAACUCUCCCUUUCUGUCUUCUCUCUCUCUCGGUGCUCUUAGGACGACGUCGUGCAUCCAUCGGCGCCUCCGCCUUUGCUCUCCCUGGUGGCCACCUCGAGUUCGGGAAGAAUUAUCUUCAGUGGCAUGGUACUCGGGCUGAGUUGGUGGUGACGGAAGCCGAGUUGUGCAAUGAGAUACUCAGUAAUAAAGAUGGAUUCUAUCCGAAACCCAAGUUCAGAGCUUAUGCAAAGAAGAUAUUUGGGAAAGGCCUUCCACAAUUAGAAGGUGAAAACUGGGCGAAAUCGCGAAUGCUGGCCAACCAUGCCUUCCAUGGACAGAGCUUAAAAGUAUGUUGUUACAGUAGUUACUUAUAUUUUAUUCCUUCAAGGAUAAGAAAAAAUUGAAAAAAAAAAACUACAAGUCCAAUGACUAUUGAUAAAGCCAGUCUUUCUUUUCCCUGCAUUGUGGUUUAUGUGUUGAUCUGGCAUGGUGGUAUUGUUUUGUAUUACUAGAAUAUGAUUCCAAGUUAGCUAGCAUGUUAUAUAUAUCCUAAUCCGUUUUUUUAUUAUUUGAUUUUGUUUGGAGUAUAAUGGCAAAAGAAUGAAAGGAAGAUAGGAGAGACCUCUUUGAAUGAAUGGAUGCAGCACGGGAAGAAACGGACACAUACCUUACAGAGAUUCCAAGCUAACACGCAUACUGCAAAAUUCUUUGGGAGGUAACACGCUAGGACAGCCAUCAUUUGCACCAUGAGCCCUGCACGAAGUCAUGUUGAGCAAUCAAAAAACACCAUGUUCUUUGCAAGUUGUGAAAAAGAGGUUACUACUAAUGCAAAGGUCAGAUAAGGUACUAAAGCUUGGACUACAUUUGAUAGCAAAGACAGUAAUUUUGCUCAAAGUUCGGGUGAUGGGCCAAGUGGUGGGAUAGAGAUGGAUUACGAUGUAGAAGAAGAAUAUCAUGGCCGGUCAUGAUGCACAAGAAAUGGAAUCAAUAAAAAAUAGCAUUACUCAAAGUUUGAUGAGUGCGCUUGAUAACGUGGAUAUUUGAAUAUGUUAUGAUAUUUUUUGUGGUUACUUGAUGCCAAUCAGAACCAAAUGUUAUUAAUGUUACUAAUAUAUUUGUACAAGUUAUUUUUUAAAA